AGUAAAAGUCGUAACAAGGUUUCCGUAGGUGAACCUGCGGAAGGAUCAUUAACGAGUUUUUGAAACGGGUUGUAGCUGGCUUUCAAAACGAAAGCAUGUGCACGCCUGACUCAAUCCACUCUUAAACCUCUGUGCACUUACUGUAGGCUUAGGUAAUAGAGGGGCUUGUAAAAGUCCUGAUAGAGCCUGGUCUAUGCUUUUACAAACGCUUUAGUCUACGAAUGUUACUCGCGUUUAACGCAAUAAAUACAACCUUCAGCAACGGAUCUCUUGGCUCUCGCAUCGAUGAAGAACGCAGCGAAAUGCGAUAAGUAAUGUGAAUUGCAGAAUUCAGUGAAUCAUCGAAUCUUUGAACGCACCUUGCGCUCCUUGGUAUUCCGAGGAGCAUGCCUGUUUGAGUGUCAUGGUAUUCUCAACUCUUCAAAGCUUUUGCAAUGAACAGUUGGAUGCGGAGGUUGUGUCGGCUUGCAAAAGUUGACUCCUCUUAAAUGCAUUAGUGUGAACCUUUACGGAUCGCCAUCAGUGUGAUAAUGUCUACGCUGUGACGUUGAAGUAUCUUUGGUGUUCAUGCUUCUAAUACCCUCUUCACGAGACAACUCUUGACAAUCUGACCUCAAAUCAAGUAGGACUACCCGCUGAACUUAAGCAUAUCAAUAAGCGGAAGGA
rnacentral:rRNA from 1 species